UGCAAAAGAAGUAGGUAGCUUAACCUUCGGGGGGGCGCUUACCACUUUGUGAUUCAUGACUGGGGUGAAGUCGUAACAAGGUAACCGUAGGGGAACCUGCGGUUGGAUCACCUCCUUACCUUAAAGAAGC
rnacentral:rRNA from 1 species